CGGCGAGUGAAGCGGCAACAGCUCAAAUUUGAAAUCUGGCGUCUUGGGCGUCCGAGUUGUAAUUUGUAGAGGGAGCCUCGGGUUGAGGGUCGGUCCAAGUGCCUUGGAACAGGAUACCGCAGAGGGUGAGAGUCCCGUAUCCGGCCGACGCCUGCGCCCGUGUGAGGCCUCUUCGACGAGUCGAGUUGUUUGGGAAUGCAGCUCUAAAUGGGUGGUAAAUUCCAUCUAAAGCUAAAUACCGGCCAGAGACCGAUAGCGCACAAGUAGAGUGAUCGAAAGAUGAAAAGCACUUUGAAAAGAGAGUCAAACAGUACGUGAAAUUGUUGAAAGGGAAGCGUAUGUGGGCAGACUUGGCCGCGGGAUUCAGCCCGUCUUCUGGCGGGUGUACUUUCUCGCGGACAGGCCAGCAUCGGUUCCGGGGGCCGGACAAAGGCGACGGGAAUGUGGCUCCCCUCGGGGAGUGUUAUAGCCCGGCGUGCAAUGCGGCC
rnacentral:rRNA from 1 species